UCUACACUCUUAGUAUCAAAUUUCAAAUUUUUUCACUCGCACCGUCACCGCAUCUAAGUCGAUUCGACAAGGAUUAAUUUUUUGAAUCCGUGCCGAACCGGAUUAUCCCGUAUGGAAGGGCGGGGGCGGGAGCUAUCGGGAUAUAACGACAGCGGAGGAAGAGCAUCAGACAUAAAAAAAACAAAAAAACAACACGAUGCGUCUAUUACUGCUUGCUGCUUUUCUUUUUUUUAUGGCGAUGCAAUUUGGCCACGGCGAAAAUCCGCCUCGGAGGCCGCCAACCACGUCAGCGUAAUAAUGAAACGAGCAGAGACUCAUAACGCAGAAUGGGGUGGUUUUCCAUCAUUGGACCGGAACGGACAACAAAUUGUCAAAAACAAUGUAAAAUAUAUGCACAAACUUUAGUCUGA